rnacentral:rRNA from 1 species
UAGGGAAUCUUCCGCAAUGGACGCAAGUCUGACGGAGCAACGCCGCGUGAGUGAAGAAGGAUUUCGGUUCGUAAAACUCUGUUGUUAGAGAAGAACAGCGCAUAGAGUAACUGUUAUGCGUGUGACGGUAUCUAACCAGAAAGCCACGGCUAACUACGUGCCAGCAGCCGCGGUAAUACGUAGGUGGCAAGCGUUAUCCGGAAUUAUUGGGCGUAAAGCGCGCGUAGGCGGUUUUUUAAGUCUGAUGUGAAAGCCCACGGCUCAACCGUGGAGGGUCAUUGGAAACUGGAAGACUUGAGUGCAGAAGAGGAAAGUGGAAUUCCAUGUGUAGCGGUGAAAUGCGCAGAGAUAUGGAGGAACACCAGUGGCGAAGGCGACUUUCUGGUCUGUAACUGACGCUGAUGUGCGAAAGCGUGGGUAGCAAACAGG